rnacentral:rRNA from 1 species
UACGUAGGGUGCAAGCGUUGUUCGGAAUUACUGGGCGUAAAGGGCGCGUAGGCUGUGCUGUAAGUCAGGCGUGAAAGCCCCGGGCUCAACCUGGGAAUUGCGCUUGAUACUGCGGCGCUGGAAGGUGGGAGAGGAUGGCGGAAUUCCCAGUGUAGAGGUGAAAUUCGUAGAUAUUGGGAAGAACACCGGUGGCGAAGGCGGCCAUCUGGCCCAUUUUUGACGCUGAGGCGCGAAAGCGUGGGGAGCAAACAGG